rnacentral:snoRNA from 1 species
GGACCUGAUGAUGAGAAUAUGCUAGUAAUCUCACAAUGGUCUUCUGAGAACUCUUUUGAUGUAAUAAAUAUUCUCUGAAGCCC